rnacentral:lncRNA from 1 species
GUUCCCAGACUAGGGGGUCGAAUCAGAGCUGCAGCUGCCAGCCUAUGCCACAGCCACAGCAACUUGGGACCUGAGCUGUGUCUGUGACCUACACCACAGCUCGCGGCAACACCAGAUCCCACUGAGCAAGGCCAGGGAUCAAACCUGCAUCCUCAUGGAACUGGUCGGGUUCUUAACCUGCUGAUCCACAAUGGGAGCUCCUAGAAUUCCAUUUCUUGAUAGGGGGGUGGGUUACACAGUGCACGUAUUUUCUGAAAUCAUUCAACUUGUAAUCUGUGCAUUUCACUGAGCAUAGGUUAUCCCUCAAUUUAACAAGAAGAAAAAGAAAGAGGGAAAAGAAGAGGUCGCAGACAAGAGGGGGAUGAGAAGAGGAGAAAAGUCACCCAGAAAAGUGGGAGAAUGAAUGGAGAGGAGAAGUGUGGCAUUAAAGACCCACUGGAGAUUAAUGGUCAUUACGUCAAUCAACAGACUGUGGUGCGUUACUCCCCACCCAUAUUCAGCUGCACAGGUGCAAGGCAGAGCUGGGCUGACCCAGAACCGUGGUUUUGCCAAGCAGGUAGCAUGAAGAGGAAGAGAUAUGCAAAGGAGGUUCUGCAAUGAUUGACCACAGUGAUGAUGGUUUUCAAAAUAAGGCUGUACCGUGUCUGAACUGAAUAUCAAAUCCAUUCACAGACUGAAAUAGAUACCACGGCUGUCAAGGUAGAAACACUCAGGUAGAUUACAGAAAACACUUUCUUGUUGAUCUGUCUUGUAAUCAGCAUCACCGAAGCUUUUAAUCAUCUCUGAUUGCAUCUUAUCCUGUUAAAUGUAUUCAUGUGCUCUUUGGAGAUCUUCUAUUCCAAGGAAGGGGCCCUCUUUUAGGAAGACAGGGAGAAAUGCAUUCUUCACACCUGCACAUUUUCUGGCUACUUGCCUCGUGGGCCAAGGACACGGCCAUCUUUGCCCGUCUGGGUUUCUGGUAGUAAAUUCUGCCACUGCCCUCUGCCAGGUUGGCCCAGUGGUAGAUAGAGUGAAUCACUGCCCAGGGGAUGUGAUUCCAGUGGUGCAGUCCAGUCUCUUGCCCUUGAAUACCACCUUUCUUGCCUAACGUCUUGGCUGAUGUCUACAUGUCACCAAAAUUAUAGUCUCCCAGCUUAAGGUUUUAAUCAUAAAUCAAAAUUCAUGUAAUCUUGUUAUCAAUAAAUUAUACUUUACACUAGAAAUGUUCCCAUCCUACCCUCUACACGCCUGCAAGGUUUAGACAGAAGGGUGAAGACUUUGGGAAGUUCCCAGGAAAAAGGGUUUUGUCUUUGGGCUGACAGUCUCGCUGCCCCUCUCUCCACCAAAGGCCCCACUUACAGGUCCAUGGCUCCCUGCAGGGACGGUGAACACAGCACAGACCAUCUGUUUGGCUGCCUUGACUCUCAUGGAAGCUCCCCCAAUUUGCCUACACCAGCCUGUUUGAGACAACAUUUUUUUAUUUUUAUUUUUUUGGCCAGGGAUGGAACCUGCACCACAACAGUAAUCUGAGCCACGGCAGAGACAACAGCAGAUCCUUAACCCACUGAACCACCAGGGAACUCCCUGGGACAAUUUCUUUACCAAAGGGUCAAGGUCACUUUAAAGGGAAGGUAUGCAAGGAAAUGUUAAGCUGCAUGCUAGACGUGACUUUCAUCUGAAUCCAAAGGUAACGGGAACCUAAGAUGUUAAUUCUUCAUGACAGGGUUGCUGCUUGGGCUCAGACCCAGUCUGUUCGUAUCCCGAAUCUAGCGCCCUCAAAUCUAAGCAUCACCCCCAAAGAGGUCCUGCCUCUGACUUUCAGAAGGAAAAUCAGCUCUUCUGAAAAAUUGUUCCCCUCACCUAGAGGGACCCAUUUUCACCCCCAGAAUUCAUCCUCCUCUCCCCUAUUAGCGUAUAUCCACACCCAGGCCUUUCAGCAGCGGCUUCACUGAGACACUCAGCAAUUACACAACGAUGCACCCCUGUUCCUCUAGACAGGGAUUGGGAGGGGAGGGGCCACCCAGGGUGAGCAUAGCCCUCCCCCUCACUCUCCUCUUGAAGGGUUAGUUGAGGGUACUCACCUGUUUACUAACACCUGUUACUUCAAAGGUAGACCCGUUACACCAAGUCCAUCCACACAUCCUUCGGGGACAAACAAACAUUACUGCUCAUGGACAGUCUAAACCCAUCAUGAGAAGAAAAUAUGUACUAAUAUCAUUAUAAUUUUUCCUUCCCUGGAGCCAGGAAGUCACAUUAUUACACAAAAGAGAAACCACUAGCUUCUUUCUUGCUCCCACAUUCUUUUUUUUUUUUUUGGCUGCACUUGCAGCAUAAGGAAGUUCCUAGGCCAGGAAUAGACUCCAAGCCCCUGCUGCAACCUAUGCAGCUGCUACAGUAACAGCAGAUCCUUAACGCAUUGUGCCGGGCCAGGAAUCAGGGCCGGGAACAGAACCUGUGCCUCAGCAGCAAGCCAAGCAGCUGCAGAGACAACACUUGAGCCUUAAUCUGCUGCUCCGCAGCAGGAACGCCUCACUCCCACAUCCUUGAAGGACGCUCCCUUGGUUGAAAAGUUCUGAGAUAAGCAUCUGGUGCAGGUUCACUCCCAUUCUGCUCAGUUCUCAUCCCGUGUAAAGCAGGUAAAGCCAGGCUGUGGUAUCCGGGUUUCCACAUUGGUGAUGCUAAGUGCUGGACGACAGCAUCUCCCUGGUACCCUUCUCCCUCCUCACACUAGUCUCCCCACCCCCCGAUUUAAGGAGGGGGUGAGGCAGAGAAGUGUUGACACAGAGGCAUCCUGUGCUUUGACGGCAGAACUGAGGUUGGGAACAUAAACAUGGGGUAAAAUGUGUGAUGGGGGGACAGGCACAAGAGGAAACAAGCCGGAAUGACGCACAGGGCAGAUCAUGACCGGACUUGCAGGCCACUCUACUCCCUGCAGUCCUUUGACAGCAUAAGGAAGAAAUUCUGAGGGCUGGCUUGCCCAGACUGCUGGCUCAUCAGCUGCCUAGGAGGCUCUCACAGGAAAAAAAAAAAAAAAGAUUUUGAGGUCUAUGGGUCCCACAAUAUUAUUUUGCUUCUGAGUAACAAAGAAAAAAGAAAUAAUUUGACAACUAUUGGUUAAACAUAUAUACAGUAUAACGGGGUCAACAUAUAUUGAUAAGAUAGUGAAUAAAACUGAAAAGUAGUUAGCAAGGUGUAGAUGGGUGACAGUCAGUUACAGAAGAAAUAAGAUACCCCAGUAGCAAAACUAUGAAGAGCUCCUAGAAAGCAUCAGUACUUAGAUGUCAAAAUCCUGAUUCUAUUAGUUUAUUCACACCUGUUUUUUUUAAGUCUCACUUCUUAAUAACAUUAUCUAAUUUUUGCCCAGAAAAUGCUUUUACACAUAUCACUGCACAAAAGGCCAAGAAGCAGAGUAUUAUUAUCUUCACUUCUAUUUAUGAGAAAAGGCCUGGAAGAAUUCAGUGGCUUGUUCGAAAUCACACAGGGACAAUGAGACAGCCACCCCCAUCGCCAGGACCAUGCCUAUGCCUGCCACAGACCUCUGACCUCGCCAUUCCCUCUGCUUGGAAAGCCCUUCCCCCCAGCCCCACUUGGCUGGCUCCUCACCAUCCUACAGUCAUCCCAAAUGUUUCCCCAGUUUAAAGUCACCAUCCCCCAUUCCAAGUGCCCCUCUACCCCAAGAGUCUUUAAACUACAUCCCUCAGGCCAAAUCUGGCCCGCCCACCUGUUGUGUUUGUUGUUUUUGUAAAUAAAGUUUUACUGG